rnacentral:rRNA from 1 species
AUGGCGGGACGUAGCAGGGCGCCUGCAUUUCUCCUCCUGGGGCUCUUCCUCGGCCUCGCCGGAUCCAGCCCGCCGCCGGAGCCGGUGGAGUGCGCCCGCGGCACGUCCGACUGCACCGUCACCAACGUGUACGGCUCCUUCCCGGACCGCACCAUCUGCCGCGCGGCCAACGCCACGUUCCCGCGCACCGAGAAGGAGCUCGUGGCCGCCGUGGCUGCCGCCGCCGCGUCCAAGCGCAAGGUUAAGGUGGCCACCAGGCACUCCCACAGCUUCACCAAGCUGGCCUGCCCCGGCGGCCGCGACGGCACGAUCAUCAGCACGGAGCGGCUCAACAAGACGGUGAGCGUCGACGCUGCCAAGGGGCUCAUGACGGUGGAGAGCGGCAUGGUGCUCAAGGACCUGAUCCAGGCGGCCGCCGCGGCGGGGCUCGCGCUGCCGCACUCGCCCUACUGGUACGGACUCACCAUCGGGGGCCUCCUCGCCACGGGUGCCCACGGCAGCUCGCUGUGGGGCAAGGGCAGCGCCGUGCACGAGUACGUGGUAGGGAUGAGGAUCGUCACGCCCGCACCGGCCAGCCAGGGCUUUGCCGUGGUCAGGGAGCUCAGCGUCGGGGACCCCGACCUCGACGCGGUCAAGGUUUCCCUCGGCGUCCUCGGCGUCGUCUCCCAGGUUACGCUAGCCUUGCAGCCGAUGUUCAAGCGGUCGGUGACGUUUGAGAAGCGCGACGACACGGACUUUGCAUCGCAGGCGGCCAUGUGGGGAGGACUGCACGAGUUCGGCGACAUGGCGUGGCUGCCGCGGCAAGGCAAGGUGAUCUACCGCAAGGACGAUCGCGUACCCGUCUCAACCAAGGGCAACGGCCUCAACGACUAUCUCGGCUUUCGAUCCAAUCCUACGCUCGCGCUCAUCACCGCCAGAGCCACGGAGGAGCACCUGGAGGAGGACGGCGGCGACAUCGCCAGGUGCCUGGCGGCGCGGGCGCCGUCCGUGCUGUUCGAGCUGCAGGCCUACGGCUUCACCAACGACGGCUCAUUCUUCACAGGGUGGCCGGUGGUGGGGUUCCAGAACCGCAUCCAGGCGUCCGGCACGUGCAUCAGCAGCCCGGAGGACGGCCUCCUCUCCUCCUGCACGUGGGACCCACGCAUCCGGAGCCCCUUCUUCUACAACUCCGGCUUCAGCGUGGCGCUCUCGAAGGCGCCGGCGUUCAUUGCCGACAUGCAGAAGCUCCGCGACCUCAAGCCACGCGCCUUCUGCGGCCUCGACGCCAAGCUCGGCGUGCUCCUCCGCUACGUCAGGGCCUCUUCCGCUUACCUCGGGAAAUCUGAGGACUCGAUCGACUUCGACGUCACCUACUACCGGAGCUACACUGAAGGCGAGCCGCGCGCAAACUCCGACGUGGUCGACGAGAUCGAGCAGCUGGCGCUGCGCAAGUACGGCGCCGUCCCACACUGGGGCAAGAACCGCAACUUUGUCUUCGACGGCGUCAUCGCCAAGUACCCCAAGGCCGCUGAGUUCCUCAAGGUGAAGGCCAGGUACGACCCCGACGGGAUCUUCUCCAGCGAGUGGAGCGACCAGGUGCUCGGCAUCAAAGGGAGCCCCAACAUCGUCGAGAAAGGCUGCGCCAUUGAAGGGCUCUGCGUCUGCUCCAAGGACUCGCACUGCGCGCCAGAGAAGGGCUACUUCUGCCGGCCGGGAACGAUGUUCUCGGAGGCGAGGGUCUGCUCGACCCGGGCCGCUUUCGGCGACGAAAGCGACGACCUUCUAGACGAACAGUGA